GGAUUGUGGCUCAGUGGUAGAGUGCUCACCUAGCAUGCACGACACCAGGGAUCGAUUCUCAGCACCA
rnacentral:tRNA from 1 species